AGGAAGCAAAAAUCAAAUCAGAAAAUAUAAGUUAGAUAAGGUUUAGGCAGGAAAAUUGGAUUAGGAUUAAUUUAAUUAGGAAGAAUAAAUAAUAUAUAUAAUUAUAAUUUUAGGUUAGAACUGUUGAGGAAUAAGAUCAUAAUUUUAUAAAUAACUGGGUCUACUGUAUGUAAUAAAUAAGGUACAGAUAUAGGAAAAGGAAUACUAAGUGAUGAUAAAGAACUAUAUAGAAGUGAAUGAUCAAAAAGGGGACAUGAAAGAAUAAUGUGAUUUAAAUCGCCAAUGUCCGCACCGCAUUCACACUUACUGCUAUCCAGCACUCCGAUCGUCGCUAGAUGUGCCGGACUACACGUGUGGCCUAAUCUCAUCCGUAUCAAACUGGAAGUCUCGUGGCGUUUAAAAUUAUAUUUGUAGAACCAUGGUUUGGAAGGAAUGGUUGGUUGUACCCUUCGGUUUCUGCAGUCUAAGAGAAUAUGGUAAAUCGGUUGAGAUUUAAAAGGAAAUUUUGCAAGAGCCUGUAAAGCACUCUUUGAAUCGGGAUUUGAAAACGAACUUAUCAGAUAAAUAUUGACGUCUCAAAUGAAGAGGAGGAUCAACACAUUCUACCUGUAAUGCUGUAACAGGACUAGAUUUCAUGGCUCCAGUGAUAAUUCUGAGUGAUUUAGACUGUAUAGAGUCUAGUUUUUUGAAAGCAUUCACAUCCCCUGGUUGAAGUAAAAAAGUACCAUAAUGUAAAACUGAUCUUACUAUGGCAUUAUAUAAAAGUUUUAAAUUGAAUGGGUGGGCACCCCACCAUACACCGGCAAGAGAACAUGAGAGAGCUAUGGGUCUGUACGACAAUACAUCCGAUGAAGAUUUACCAGGCUUGAGAAUGGGUAAAAUAAUUUGUUUUUUCCAUGACUCUGGGAUAACACAUGUAAUGAACAUAGAAUUUAUAAGGUUGAGGUAAUAUGUGAGACUAGAAUCACUCAAAUGGGCAAAGAAAGAAUAAGGAAUCUUAUCAUCACCUGAAGCAGAGUCCUUAAGAUUCGAGAUUACCCCCUUCAGUUCAUUAAAUGAAAAAGGUAAAUCAAAAUCUGAAACUGGAUCUGAACAUGAGAAAGGAAGGACAAACGGGAUAAGAGCUAAACAUUCUUCUGGAACAUAAGGGGGAGCUAAUUUAUCAAGAAACUUGUCAGCCAGAUCAUAAGGCAAGUCUUUGACUGUAUUUUCUUUAUAUGCAGAUCUAAAUCUUCUUAUUUGGUUCCAUACUUCAGAAGGUGAGAUAUUAGGACAAAUCGAAGCACAAAAUUUUUUAAAACCUUCUCGUUUCUUUUUUAAUAAAAGAUUCCGAGU